CUCCUGCCUGCAGACACAACAUGCCAAGCACACAGGAAAAACAUAAAGAUUUUAAAAUCCAACUUUCCUUUUGUUCCCAGAAGGCGAACCUUGAUGAAAAGGCCAUGGCGCUGAAGUUUUCCUACUUGUCCAGGGAGGUCCUAUCCGGCCCAGGCUGUGAGGACACCGGGCCAUUUCCACCAUGCCUGUUCUUCUGCAGCAUCUGUUCCUGUGACAUUACUCUAACACAGAUGUGGGGCUCUCUCCAGAGGAAAUUCUCUCUGUGGCUUUUAUGCAGAAUUGCCUGGAUAGUUUUCCUCCCUUCCUUAUCACUGAAUUUCAGCUAAGAUUUGCUUGGGAACAAGAGCAAGUUAUCUUGUAACUGGAUUGUUUAUAACUCAAAGGAUAAAUGCUUCGGGGGUGGAGAACCCAUUCUCUA